rnacentral:rRNA from 1 species
GACGAACGCUGGCGGCGUGCUUAACACAUGCAAGUCGAACGGAAAGGCCCUGCUUUCGUGGGGUGCUCGAGUGGCGAACGGGUGUGUAACACGUGAGUAACCUGCCCUUGACUUUGGGAUAACUUCAGGAAACUGGGGCUACUACCUGAUAGGAGCGCCUGCUGCAUGGUGGGCGUUGGAACUUUUCGGCGGUUGGGGAUGGACUGGCGGGUUAUGAGCUUGUUGGUGGAGUAUUGGCCUACCAAGGCUUCGGCGGGUAGGCGGCAUGGGAGGGUGGUCGGGGACAUGGGGACUGAGAGACGGAGCAGAGGGCAACGGGGGGCAGCGGGGGGAAGUAUGGCACAAUGGGGCGAAGCGUGUGGAAGAAGCCUCGGGUGCGUGAAGACGGUCUUCGGGGGGUGAACCGCAGUCGGCUGAGACGAAGCGGGAGUGACGGUAAUGAGAGAAGAAGCACCGGCUAACUACGUG